rnacentral:rRNA from 1 species
GACGAACGCUGGCGGCGUGCUUAACACAUGCAAGUCGAACGGAAAGGCCCUGCUUUUGUGGGGUGCUCGAGUGGCGAACGGGUGAGUAACACGUGAGUAACCUGCCCUUGACUUUGGGAUAACUUCAGGAAACUGGGGCUAAUACCGGAUAGGAGCUCCUGCUGCAUGGUGGGGGUUGGAAAGUUUCGGCGGUUGGGGAUGGACUCGCGGCUUAUCAGCUUGUUGGUGGGGUAGUGGCUUACCAAGGCUUUGACGGGUAGCCGGGCUGAGAGGGUGACCGGCCACAUUGGGACGGAAAUACGGCCCAGACUCCUACGGGAGGCAGCAGUGGGGAAUAUUGCACAAUGGGCGGAAGCCUGAUGCAGCAACGCCGCGUGCGGGAUGACGGCCUUCGGGUUGUAAACCGCUUUCGCCUGUGACGAAGCGUGAGUGACGGUAAUGGGUAAAGAAGCACCGGCUAACUACGUG